UACGUAGGGUGCAAGCGUUGUCCGGAAUUAUUGGGCGUAAAGAGCUCGUAGGCGGUCUGUCACGUCGGCUGUGAAAUCCCGAGGCUCAACCUCGGGUCUGCAGUCGAUACGGGCAGACUAGAGUGCGGUAGGGGAGACUGGAAUUCCUGGUGUAGCGGUGAAAUGCGCAGAUAUCAGGAGGAACACCGGUGGCGAAGGCGGGUCUCUGGGCCGUAACUGACGCUGAGGAGCGAAAGCGUGGGGAGCGAACAGG
rnacentral:rRNA from 1 species